UGGAUUUAUCUCAUCAGUUUUCUCACAGUGUUUCGGAUUCAUCACAUCUCAGUUUCUUGUCUACUUGUUAAAUUAUUGCAAUUUUUAUCGUUUAACAUAAAAUUCACAUUCGCAUAAUAAAUGAAUGUGAUUCUUAAUUUUCAUUUAAUUCCCAUCAUGUUGAUGUCAAAAAAUAGUGAAUUUUAGAAUUGCUAUUUUUUUGCAGUCGAUUCAAUCUGUGUUUUGGUCUGCUCGUUAAAUGCCAUGAAUUGGAUGGUGCUGCCUCUCCCGAUUCCCUGCCAAAAUUUCCACCAAAUUUUCCCUUUUUUUUCAGUGACAAUUUCCUAAUUCGCGAGGGGAAAAAAAAUUGGUUUUAUUCACAAAUCAUACUUUUAACCUUUACUUGACAGAUGGAAAAAAAGACAAAUGUGAAAUUCUUUUUUGUGUUAAAUGUCUGUUUUGAAGUGUUGUGCAAAAUUCGAUUUUUAUUGACAGAAAGUGUUUCGAAGUCGAGGGAUUUUUUUAUUAGAAAUAAGUUUUUAUAUGUAUACUUAGAGAAAAAUAUUAAUAACUGUUGGAACUAUUUUUAAUCCAGUGUCUAUAUUUUUAGUGUUAUUUCACAACAGUGAAAUAAUACACAAAAAAAUAAGUAAAUUGAAAAAAUAUGUACGAGAAGCAGAACAUAACCUAAAAUUUCAGAAAGCAAAAAAGCAAAUAAUCAUUUUGAUUCAUUGAUG